rnacentral:rRNA from 1 species
UACGGAGGGGCAAGCGUUGUUCGGAAUUACUGGGCGUAAAGGGCGCGACAGGCGGCUGCUCAAGUCAGGACGUGAAGGCCUGGACUCAACCCGGGAAUUGCGCUUGAGACUGGGCUGGCUUGAGUGCGGGAGAGGAUGGUGGAAUUCCCAGUGUAGAGGUGAAAUUCGUAGAUAUUGGGAAGAACACCGGUGGCGAAGGCGGCCAUCUCGGACCGCAACUGACGCUGAGGCGCGAAAGCGUGGGGAGCAAACAGGGAUUAAGAAACCCUUGGUACGUCC